GUCUAUGGCCAUACCACCUUGAACACACCCAAUCUCAUCUAGUCUUGGAAGCUAAGCAGAGUUGGGCGUGCUUAGUACUUGAAUGGGAGAAAAAGGAAAAAAAAAAAAUCUGCAGAAU
rnacentral:rRNA from 1 species